CGUUUCUUAUUAAAAAUAAAAAAAAUAAAAUAAAAGUUGCUGAAAGCCUGAAGCAUGAAAGGAGCCCAAGCCUCCAACCGUUCAUUCACUCCAUCGUGACAUCGUCCAACCCCUGUUUCCUUCCCAAAGGCCAUGAGAGACCACCAUGAGAGCUGAGAGCUGAGAGCUGAGAAUCUGCCACCUCGUCGCCAGCGGAGACCCGUUCAGCUUCAGCCACAGUAGUGCGGAGAUAGCGCGGCACUCACCAUCGCAACCACAGUAGUGCGCCACUCACCACCGCCAAGAAGCACAUCCACGGUCCAGCGAAGAUUCAACAUUCAAGUCGCCUCCCCGUCGCCUACUGCCUCCUAGUCGUGAGUCAUCAGUCGCCACCUCCGGUCUCCCUCUUCUCUGCUCGUCCCUCCAUCCCUCCAGGGUCCAGGAGCUGGUAAAUUCUACAAUUGAUAAGGCUAGAACUCUGCUUGAUGAUGGUAACAAGGAGAAGAAAGAAACCGAUGUGCUUGUGGAGUAUCUUACUGAAGCUAAGCUUGUUUUUGAGCCCAUUAUAGCUAAGAUUGGUUAGUUUUGUUUAGAUCUUUCCUUUGUUGAACUUUUAAUUUUGCUUGUGAUGCAAAUCUUUGUGACAGAAAUUAUCUAAAGGAGAUUGGUCAUUGAGAGUUGACAUUUGAAUUUUGUGGACAGAUCUUGUGAACUUUGAAUGUGUUGCAGAUUUGAUACUGUGGAGACAGAAGAAUAUUAGUGUAGAAAUAUUAUUAGUCAGAGAAUAGGAGGAAGGGUAUUGGGAAUAUUGUUACUUAGUGUGGGAAUAUUGUUACUUAUGUGGGACCGGGUUAACCGGUUUAACCAGUGACCCAGUAGUCUGAUCGGUUCGAUCACCGGUUCGGUUCUGACAACUAUGAUAGGGAGGGAAGGAGGGCUGCGCGAACGCUGCAGAGAGAAAAGAUAAUUAGGGUUCGAAACCUUUCCUUCUUUCUUUUUUUUUUAAUUUUAAAAAUAGGGAUCGCG